UACGUAGGUGGCGAGCGUUGUCCGGAUUACUGGGCGUAAAGAGCGUGCAGGCGGUCGUUCAAGUCGCGUGUGAAAGCCCCGGCUCAACUGGGGAGGGUCACGCGAUACUGAUCGACUCGAAGGCAGGAGAGGAAGUGGAAUUCCCGGUGUAGUGGUGAAAUGCGUAGAUAUCGGGAGGAACACCGGUGGCGAAGGCGGCGAUCUGGGUCGAUACUGACGCUGAGGUGCGAAAGCGUGGG
rnacentral:rRNA from 1 species